AGGUCCUACCAUCGGAGGCGUGCUAACAACAGCCAGCCUCCGCGAAGUAAUGCCUAAUAGUGGUCCCGCGGGGGAGAGUAGUUGAAGAAACGUUUGAGGAGUAGUUUUUAGUACAUAAGUGCCAUGGAUGGCGAACCGUGCAUGCUGCUGCUAAGAACCAUCAGUAUCUUUUAAAGAUUUUCUACCUCCAACUC
rfam:Glossina austeni unplaced genomic scaffold Scaffold61, whole genome shotgun sequence.